UGAGUGCAGUGGGACCUGGUCCUUUUCCCAGCAGUGACGUCUUGUUUAUGUGCUGACUAAUGGUGCAGUCUGUGGGGCGUUAUCUGUGUGUAACUGGGGCUCUAGAUCAGGUCAGUCUGUUGGGCGUUAUCUGUGUGUAACUGGGGCUCUAGAUCAGGUCAGUCUGUGGGGCGUUAUCUGUGUGUAACUGGGGCUCUAGAUCAGGUCAGUCUGUGGGGCGUUAUCUGUGUGUAACUGGGGCUCUAGAUCAGGUCAGUCUGUGGGGCGUUAUCUGUGUGUAACUGGGGCUCUAGAUCAGGCCAGUCUGGGGGCGUUAUCUGUGUGUAACUGGGGGUCUAGAUCAGGUCAGUCUGGGGGCGUUAUCUGUGUGUAACUGGGGGUCUAGAUCAGGUCAGUCUGUGGGGCGUUAUCUGUGUGUAACUGGGGGUCUAGAUCAGGUCAGUCUGGGGGUGUUAUCUGUGUGUAACUGGGGGUCUAGAUCAGGUCAGUCUGGGGGCGUUAUCUGUGUGUAACUGGGGGUCUAGAUCAGGUCAGUCUGUGGGGCGUUAUCUGUGUGUAACUGGAGGUCUAGAUCAGGGUCUGUGUGUAUAUGAGAACUUGCUGACCCUCUGGAAAAGUCCGUAGAAGCUUCGUAGUGUCUGCACGUGUGUCAGGAAGACAUAGUGAAUGUGCUAUCAAAGCAGAAGACAAUACUGCAGGUGUUACCAUUGGCAUGUCAUCCUGUUGCAUAAAUCCUGAUAUCACGUCACUCUUCAAGUAGAGCCAGCCGUCCCCAACAAGAGGAGAGAGGACUGUAGCGUACAGCCUGAUAUCACGUCACUCUUCAAGUAGAGCCAGCCAUCUCCAACAAGAGGAGAGAGGACUGUAGCGUACAGCCUGAUAUCACAUCACUCUUCAAGUAGAGCCAGCCAUCUCCAACAAGAGGAGAGCAAAAUAUCACAGAGAGGCUCCAGUUGUCUCUUCAUGCUGUCGCUCUGGUCUUCUGUGACUGUUCAGGCACUCAGGCCCAUGUCUUCUGGUUGGCUCAGAGGGGUGUAUGUCUUCUCUCUCUCUUUCUCUCUAUUUACCAUCUAUCAUCUCUCUCUCUUAUUCUUUCCCUCCCCUUUCACUCGCUCACUCCUUUCUCCCCCCUCUCUUUCUUUCUCUCUCUUUUGGAAAAUCCUCUCUGUAUUACAGGGGUAAGAUGAGUUUUGUGGUGAAAGGGUCAUUCCCCUGCGGCAGCAAAAUAUCACUUUCUCCCCACUGGGGGAAGAAUGACUGACAGGGACCACAGAAACCAACGGAGCGGGUUUAA